UGAUCACCUAUAAAAGAAGGGGAAAAAAAAAAAGCCCAAGAUGAAGGUCGUCCACAUAAAGUACGUUACAAGGUUCAAAUAUACCAUGUAAUUUUACAUGAUUUCUACUACUCUCUGAGUUCACUCAUCUAUCUAUUUAUGAUUGCCUGGUAUGCAUGGCUGAUGACUAUGGCAAUUGAAGCUGUUAAUCUGGUGGGCCACCUCAGGAAUGGUCCAUAACUCGAGAAUCACAGUGUUGGUGAAUCCUGACCAUCUAAUUUUUCGAUCCACACGAUGGCCCAUCAAAUUGAUAGUCCUAAUCACCAUGCACCCACAUAAAUAAAUAAAUAAUAAUAAAUAAAAUAAAAUAAAAUAAAAAAAUAAAAAAGAAAGAAAGACAAGGUAUACUGCUUGAUCAUCUUCGAUAUCACUGGUGGGAUUCUCAUCUUCCAAACUCAAAGGGGACUGCCUUCCAAUAGGGAAAACAUGGCACUGACCAAAAGCAUCCUUCAAAGCAGAAAGGAAGAAUUUACAAGGGAUGGAAGGAGACUUAGUAGGCUCUUCCCAAGAAACAAAGGCCAUGGUUGGUGCAAAAACUCUUCAAGAGAAGAAGAUAGAAGAUAAAAGAAAGAUGAUGGGGCUUUUUCUAUGGUGUUUGUGGAUAUGGGUGUUUAUCAUUCUUAUAUAUGUAAUGAAAAAUAUACACCAUCAAGUUGAAAAAUAAGGAGAGAAAUGUCGUUUA